CCUACGGGAGGCAGCAGUGAGGAAUAUUGGUCAAUGGACGAGAGUCUGAACCAGCCAAGUAGCGUGAAGGAUGACUGCCCUAUGGGUUGUAAACUUCUUUUAUCUGGGAAUAAAACGUUCCACGUGUGGGAUUUUGUAUGUACCAUAUGAAUAAGGAUCGGCUAACUCCGUGCCAGCAGCCGCGGUAAUACGGAGGAUCCGAGCGUUAUCCGGAUUUAUUGGGUUUAAAGGGUGCGUAGGUGGAUUGUUAAGUCAGUUGUGAAAGGUUGGGGCUCAACCGUAAAAUAGCAGUUGAUACUGGCAGUCUAGAGUAGGGGUGAGGUAGGCGGAAUUCGUGGUGUAGCGGUGAAAUGCUUAGAUAUCACGAAGAACUCCGAUUGCGAAGGCAGCGUACUAGACUGGGACUGACAUUGAUGCUCGAAAGUGUGGGUAUCGAACAGGAUUAGAUACCCGUGUAGUC
rnacentral:rRNA from 1 species